UCCAAUCGACAGUCAUGCGAGUGGACAGCACACGUUGAAGCCGCUCCAAAUCGUUUGAAAUCGCGGCUGUCGGCUGUCAAGGUUAUGGCGACUGUAUUUUAGGAUGCACAUGGAAUAAUUUUUAUUGACUACCUUGAAAAAGGAAUGUUUAUUAAUAGCGACGAUUACAUAGUGUUAUUAGACCACUUAAAGGACGAAAUCGCCGAAAAACAGCCGCAAUUGAAAAAAAGAAAACGAUGUUUCAACAAGUCAAUGCAGCGUGACUCAAGUCGGUGAAAACGAUGGCAAAAAUCCACGACUUGAGCUACGAAUUGCUUACGCAUACUUGUACACCAUAUUCCCAAAUCUGGCCUUUAGCGGUUAAUUCCUGUUCAUCCGAAAGUUAGCUCGCUGGGAAGAAAUUUUCGUCUAAUGAAGAGGUGAUCGCCGAAACUGAGGCCUAUUCAAGGAGGAAGGCCAAAUCGUAUUACAAAAAUGAUAUUAAAAAGUUUGAGAUCGCAGAAUGAAGAAUGAAGAAUCACAGAUACUUUUAAAAGCUAGGAAAGUGGAUGCCAUAUAAAUUGAAGCCAAUUUUGUUUGUCAGAAAUGCCGCUCGAAUGCUAAACAAACUAACUCGUUUUUGUAUGUAUUCAUUACGACAACCCUAAAUGCCAAAAGUCAUCUGUGAAACCUGUCCAACUUGCCAAAUCAACAGCGAAGCCGAAUAUUCAUAAUCCCAAGGUAUGUAUUUGGUGGGAUCAGAAGUGAGAUCAGAAGAGCGGGCUAUACUAUAAAUUUCUAACACCGAUUGAGAGUGAAACCAUUUAUGAGAAACGCUACCGGCAACAGCACAGCAAAUUACGCCGAGCGAUUGCCAAAAAAGAGUCGAAACUUGCAACUAGACACCAGAGAAUAUAUUUCGAUCACGCCAACGCUCGGUCUCAUGUUUCAAGAUCGGUUAAAACCCAUUUGGAAAACAGCAGUUGGAAAGUUUUGCCUCACUCGCUUCAUAGUCCAAGCCGUGGCCUUGCUGACUACCAUUUGUUCCAAUCGAUGCAGAAGCCCUUCACUUGAAUGCGGUGCGCAUCAGAACAGAGUAUCAACACUUGAUGAUUCUUGACCGCAAGAAGCAAGCCUUUCCGGUCAGCACAACAAAGCUCAGCGCACAAAGCAGCGAUUAACAGUAAAUUUGCUCUCUGCAUGACGCUUACACACAUGACUUAAUAAUAUAAUUGUGGAGAUGUCGAACUUUCAAAGUUGAGGAGAUGUAAUUGCGCAUGCGCCGAACUCUUAGUGGCAUAUGGAACGACUUGAAAGCAUACCAAAUACAACUUGAGCAAGAACUGAAGACGCUCGACCUUUCCAAGCGACAACGUUUCGUUCUAUGGUCUCUUGAAAAGUUCCAAGAAGAUCCGAUGUUUUCGAACCAAAUUUUGUUCAGCGAUGAGGGCCAUUUCCAGCUCUAUGGGUAUGUAAACAAGCGAAAUUGCCGCAUUAGGGACGAAGAGCAACCUGAAGAGAAUCAAGAACUGCAAUUUCAUUCGUGGUUUGUGAGCCGGUGGAAUCAUCGGUCUACAUUUCAUUAGAAAUAAUGAACAAUGAGCACGUAACCGCCAAUGGCGACCUUUAUUACGCAAUGAUAACCCACUAUGUGAUGCCUGAAAUUGAAGCUCGCGAACUCGGCGACAUUUGGUUUCAACAAAACGGCUCCACUUCCUAAACAUUGUAUCAAUCAAAGGAUUUAUUGAGAGAGACACUUAGGUGAGCAGAUAAUUACACUUUUCGGUCGGUCAAUUGGCCACCAAGACCAUGUGAUAUCACAACGUUAGACUUUUUCCUGUGGGGAUACGUAAAGUAAAGAAAAAGAAGAUACGUAAAGUCUAAAAUCUAUGCUGACAACUCCGCUUCGAUUCAGGCCUUGGAGCAAAACAUCACGCGUGUCAUUCGGCAAUUACCAGUUGAAAUGCUCAAACGAGUCAUCGAAAAUUGGACUCAACGGAUGGACCAUUUGAGAUAAAUUUGCAGAUAUAGAUGAAAAAUUGUACAUAUACAUAUGUACAUAUAAAUUUUCAUAUAUAGAAUUUCAGAUGAUUUUAAGCAGAGAAAUCUGCUUUACCUACACACUAAUGAAUGUAAAUUUUUUU